GUCAAUCACAAACCAGAAAACAAAGCAUGUAAGAUAGAGGUAAAAAGCACUGUGGAGCAAGGGUAUAGGGCUCCAAGAACAACGUGCAGAGGAGAUCAAAUGACUCCACAGGUUCCUUUCCUGCUGAACAUCAUUUUUUCACUGCCUUCAAGAUAUCUUUUCCUAUAAGUCCACUCAUCCUAAAGACAGGUUACCCCAUCCAGGACUCUCUUUAAACAAAAAAGGGAGAAGAUCCGGUGAUUCCACAAAGUCCCAUAUGAACUGCCCCAUUGCUGGUGUGCUCUGACCGCGAAAGUGCUCACACUGCAAUGUAAUAGGAGCAAUGCUGAGACCCAACACAGAUGGUGGAUGGAUCUGACCAAGGUGGGCCAAGUAUGCAAGCUGCCCUAAGGUUACUGAAGUUACAAGUUUAGACUGCGACCUUCUCUACAUUGGCAUGUUUCACGAGGUACAAAUGCCUUGCUGGCUCCCAGAAUCCUCACCAUCACCCACAAUACCAAUGGAGCCUUGAAUGCUCAUCAGAUAUCUGGAUCAGAUUUCAUGGUCUCCAGCUCAGCAUCAACACUCUCCUCCCAUCAGAAAGACAAUGCAAAUACAGACAGUUCUGGACGAGCUGAAACUGAAGUGUGGAGCUUUUCUGGAGCGUAUUAAAAGGACUUCUCUCCAAAUGAAAGCUCAUUUGCCACUGGGAUGCACGUACAGAAAACAGCGAAAUCAAACUACUAUUUUUGCAGAGGCCUUUUUUUUUCCACCUUGUCGGCAGAAC
rnacentral:lncRNA from 1 species